CAUUUUGAAACUCACACUGUCACAAAACAGGCGAGACACUGAGGGGGGCAAUAAUUAGAACAUAGAAAAUUAACAAUAAAAAACAGGUCCCACUUCACGUUGCUGGGAAGAAUGAUUGGAUAUGUUUCCUGUACAGAUUAGUUGUAUCUGUGCAGGAAACAUUCAACAAUACCCCACCCGCCAUCCAAAUGUCAGAAAGGGGUGGAACCUGGCCCCACGAGACUAAAUGUAACCAUAUGGUCGAUCACACACAUUGUGUGACGUCACGUGACUAGAUCUUCAAGCUUCUUCUGUGACUGUCUGACCAUAGAUACUACAACUAGUUGUAUAAUUAAAAUUCCAAUGCAUUAUUAUUGUUUCAGAUGACUCAGAAGUUAGGAGACGAGGUAAAGGAAGACCAGCAAAAUCACAAAGAGAGAUCAAUCAAUAAGCUUACUUUGACAAUUCACUUUCAUAAUUAGCAAUUUAGCACUAUUUUUUGUGUACAUAGAUCUAUAAUCAUUUUCCCAAAUGUUCAUAGGCUAUACAGUGGAAUCCCAAGACCUUUUUAGUCAUGAGGCAAAUUCAAGUAUUACUGGGCAAAAAACUAGUAGCAAAGCAGUGAGUUCCAAGGAAAAAAACAUCAGAAGAGGGAAGUGAAGGAGCACAAAUAAUGAAGCAAGUUACAAUUUUAGAGACAAUGCUGCUGGGUAAAUUACUCAUAUAAAGACAUGAAUUCUUUUGCAUAAAGGGUCAAAAGACUACCAGAGCAGAACCAGCUGCUUUAUAAUGGAAUAAACAUGAAGGCCAUUGAGUCCUGCAAGACUUUUACCUGAGAACAAGGACAUGAAGUGGUACUUGUGGCCAACAAGUACAAAACAGACCCAAACAGACCCAGUGUCAUGGUGGAUAUGCUGAAGAGCUGGUAGACAAGCUGUUAGAAACUUGAAAGAAACUUGUGCAACCAGAACGAGAUCACUUCAAGUCCUCUGAAUAAAAUGAUGGAAAAAACAAGAAGGCAAAGUAACAUUCAUUGCCAGAUGACAAUGAAUUAUGUGUAACAGUAUAUUGUUGUUCAUCUGUUUAAAAGAUCACUAAUUUUAUUUCUUCUUUAGAUACUUACAUGUGUCGAAAAGAUAAAAUAAUAUAUGACAGGCCAAGUUGAAUUUAAUAUGCUUAUUUGAAAAAUUACCAUCGUUAUUGAAAAACAUAAGUAUUUUGUUGGUUUCUUUCCAGGAAAAAGAAUAAUCUACUGGAGAGCUGGGACAGGCCAAGGAAAACAAGGCCAAGUGAAGAUAUAAUAGUAUUUAUUUGAGCGAUAGGGGAAGAGCUGAAUCAAAAAAGUAAUUAAAAAGUCUGGUGCAGAUCAUCUCAAUGUUAGUUCCAUUAUUGCUGCUAAAUGAUCCUCACCAAGAUUUAAAGAAACAUUUAAAGGAUUAUAAAAUCUGUUCAUAAUUAUAACAAUUAUUGAAUAAUCGAAAGGUGCAGUUUGUACGUGACUGUGGAUGCUAAGGAUACUAAGAUACUUUGCUCAAGCAAAUGCAAGCCAUCAAAGCGGUAUUUUAAUUUAUUUAAAAAAUUACUUGGCUUUCUCCAUGCGAGGGAGUAUCCAUUUCAUCAUAAGAUGGACAAGCUAGAUAAGGCUGAGGCUCAGAGAUAUGGGCCGAUUUGAAAAAGGUAUAGAAGGAAGAGGGUGUGUCUGAUGAGAGACGUGUCAAUUGUAUUGAAGAUCAAGAGGAGGAGGAGGGUCAAUGGCAAAGGACAUAAUGUCGUAUUUGUGGCAAACCACAAGACAGCUCCACCCACUUUUGGCUAAGCAAUACCACAAGUACCAGGGAGGAGUGUAAGUGCCACUUGAAAAACGGAGGAGCACCCGAAGAAGAGGAGGGAGUACUUAACUGGUGGGAAAAGGAGGAGGAGGCUCUCCUGAUAACCCACCUACUCCGGUUACAGGGCAUAUCUUUCUAUUUUUCAAUGAUGGUCCUGAAUAAAUGGAUAGACAGGCCAAGGCAAUAAAUUCAAGACUAGUACAUCACUACAAUAUGCAAAAAGCGAAAGUUGAACUAAUAAAUAAUUACAGGCCAUAUUUUCUAUUUUUCAAUGUUUUACGUGUUAUUUGUUGCCUUUAUUAUCUUAUUGUUGUUGCCAGAGCACAUGAUACCAGAAUGAUAGAAGAGCUACUAGUGACAUGAUGUCUCGGGUGAUUUUUUUUCUUUCUUUGUAACGGCAUCUUUCUGUGACUGAUUAUGCAAGAUAGGAUUCUAUAGCAAAUUUGUAGUAAGCAAUGGAAAUAAGAACAAGUAAAUGUAAGAUUCUGAUUGACCAACAAAGAUACAAAAUGAUAAUCCUACUCUUGUGAUGCAAAUUCUACUGUACACUGCAAGAUGAUCCGUAAUUUUUUGCAUAUAACGUUGAAAGUGCCAAUCCAGUUCAGCUAGUUCAGUAUUUAAAGAGUAUCUCUUCUAGUGACAAGCCAAAGUUUAUCAAAAGAGUUAGAUUCACUGGUAAAGAGAGAGAGAGAGAUGCUAAUUUUUAUAUUUCUACAGAUUCUCAUGCUUCUCCCUCAAAGCGUCCAUUCAAAGAGAAUGCUAGAAGAAAACCAAUUGUUAACUUUACCAUUCAUAAUUAUACAUUAUGUGAUAAUGAUGAGGAAAGUAGUACAUGUACCAGUGUAGAUUGGGCUGAGCCAGACAUAAGAUUGCUGAGGGAUGCAUUCAAAGUUUGGAGGCACUAACAAGAGAGUUAGAUCCCCUCUUUUUUUUCUGAGUAUACAGAUUAUGAUUCUCCCUCAAAGUGUCUACUGAAAGAGGACGGAUUACCAUCAUUAUUGAAAAA